UACGUAGGAUGCAAGCGUUGUCCGGAAUUAUUGGGCGUAAAGCGAACGUAGGCGGCUUCUUAAGUUUGGUCUUAAAGACCGGGGCUCAACCCCGGGAAUGGACUGAAUACUGGAAGGCUGGAGUACCGGAGAGGAGGGUGGAAUUCCUGGUGUAGCGGUGAAAUGCGCAGAUAUCAGGAGGAACACCGGUGGCGAAGGCGGUUCUCUGGGCCUUACCUGACACUGAGGAGCGAAAGCGUGGGGAGCGAACAGG
rnacentral:rRNA from 1 species